AUUGAACGCUGGCGGCAUGCUUUACACAUGCAAGUCGAACGGCAGCGCGGGCUUCGGCCUGGCAGCGAGUGGCGAACGGGUGAGUCCUGCAUCGGAACGUGCCCAGUCGUGGGGGAUAGCCCGCCGAAAGCCGGAUUUAUACCGCGUACGACCAGAGGUUGAAAGUGGGGGACCGAAAGGCCUCGCGCUAUUGGAGCAGCCGAUGUCGGAAGAGCUAGUUGGUGGGGUAAAGGCUUAGCAAGGCGACGAUCCGUAGCUGGUAUGAGAGGACGACCAGCCACACGGGGACUGAGACACGGCCGAGACUCCUACGGGAAGAAGCAGUGGGGAAUUUUGGACAAUGGGGCCAACCCUGAUCCAGCCCUGCGGCGGGAGGGAAGAAGGCCUUCGGGUUGGAAAGUGCUUUUGUUCGGGAAGAAAUACUCUGGGCUAAUACCCCGGGGGGAUGACGGUACCGGAAGAAUAAGCACCGGCUAACUACGUG
rnacentral:rRNA from 1 species